AUCCAGAUGAAGAGUCCCAAAUAGAACGAAACGCGUGUCCUGGAU
rnacentral:hammerhead_ribozyme from 1 species